GAGUUUGAUCCUGGCUCAGGAUGAACGCUAGCGGCAGGCCUAACACAUGCAAGUCGAGGGGUAACAUAAAGUGCUUGCACUUUGAUGACGACCGGCGCACGGGUGAGUAACGCGUAUACAAUCUGCCUCAUACUAGGGGAUAGCCCAGAGAAAUUUGGAUUAAUACCCUAUAGUAUCAUUUAGAGUCAUCUCUUUUUGAUUAAAGGUUACGGUAUGAGAUGAGUAUGCGUUCUAUUAGUUAGUAGGUGAGGUAACGGCUCACCUAGACCACGAUAGAUAGGGGCCCUGAGAGGGGGAUCCCCCACACUGGUACUGAGACACGGACCAGACUCCUACGGGAGGCAGCAGUGAGGAAUAUUAGACAAUGGGCGAAAGCCUGAUCUAGCCAUGCCGCGUGCAGGAUGACGGCCCUAUGGGUUGUAAACUGCUUUUAUACAGGAAGAAAAAACUCUACGUGUAGAGUCUUGACGGUACUGUAAGAAUAAGGAUCGGCUAACUCCGUGCCAGCAGCCGCGGUAAUACGGAGGAUCCAAGCGUUAUCCGGAAUUAUUGGGUUUAAAGGGUCCGUAGGUGGACAAUUAAGUCAGAGGUGAAAUCCUGCAGCUCAACUGUGGAAUUGCCUUUGAAACUGGUUGUCUUGAGUCAUUAUGAAGUGGUUAGAAUGUGUAGUGUAGCGGUGAAAUGCAUAGAUAUUACACAGAAUACCAAUUGCGAAGGCAGAUCACUAAUAAUGUACUGACACUGAUGGACGAAAGCGUGGGUAGCGANCAGGAUUAGAUACUCUGGUAGUCCACGCCGUAAACGAUGGUCACUAGCUGUUCGGACUUCGGUCUGAGUGGCUAAGCGAAAGUGAUAAGUGACCCACCUGGGGAGUACGUUCGCAAGAAUGAAACUCAAAGGAAUUGACGGGGGCCCGCACAAGCGGUGGAGCAUGUGGUUUAAUUCGAUGAUACGCGAGGAACCUUACCAGGGCUUAAAUGUAGAGUGACAGGUCUAGAGAUAGAUUUUUCUUCGGACACUUUACAAGGUGCUGCAUGGUUGUCGUCAGCUCGUGCCGUGAGGUGUCAGGUUAAGUCCUAUAACGAGCGCAACCCCUGUUGUUAGUUGCCAGCGAGUAAUGUCGGGAACUCUAGCAAGACUGCCAGUGCAAACUGUGAGGAAGGUGGGGAUGACGUCAAAUCAUCACGGCCCUUACGUCCUGGGCCACACACGUGCUACAAUGGUAGGUACAGAGAGCAGCCAAUGCGUGAGCAUGAGCGAAUCUAUAAAACCUAUCUCAGUUCGGAUCGGAGUCUGCAACUCGACUCCGUGAAGCUGGAAUCGCUAGUAAUCGGAUAUCAGCCAUGAUCCGGUGAAUACGUUCCCGGGCCUUGCACACACCGCCCGUC
rnacentral:rRNA from 1 species